rnacentral:rRNA from 1 species
UACGGAGGGUGCAAGCGUUAAUCGGAAUUACUGGGCGUAAAGGGAGCGUAGGCGGAUUGUUAAGUCAGGGGUGAAAUCCUGGAGCUCAACUCCAGAACUGCCUUUGAUACUGGCAAUCUCGAGUCCGGAAGAGGUAAGUGGAACUCCUAGUGUAGAGGUGGAAUUCGUAGAUAUUAGGAAGAACACCAGUGGCGAAGGCGGCUUACUGGUCCGGAACUGACGCUGAGGUGCGAAAGCGUGGGGAGCAAACAGG